GACGGAGGGUGCUAGCGUUGUUCGGAAUGACUGGGCGUAAAGGGCGCGUAGGCGGCUCGUGAAGUCGGGUGUGAAAGCCCGGGGCUCAACCCCGGAACGGCAUCCGAUACUGGCGGGCUUGAGACCGGGAGAGUAGGGUGGAAUACCCAGUGUAGAGGUGAAAUUCGUAGAUAUUGGGUGGAACACCGGUGGCGAAAGCGGCUCUCUGGCCCGGAUCUGACGCUGAGGCGCGAAAGCGUGGGGAGCAAACAGG
rnacentral:rRNA from 1 species